GGCUGGUCUGAGGCAGUGAUGUUUACAACAAAUUGAUCACAAUCGGUUACAGAUUCCUUUGUUCCUUCUCCAUUUCCACUGCUUCACUUGACUAGCCUUAA
ensembl:misc_RNA Y_RNA Y RNA